GGAUCCAUGGUGCAAUGGUAGCACGUCUAACUCCAGAUCAUAAAAUUGUGUGUUCGAUUCAUGUCAAGUUCA
rfam:Picea glauca, whole genome shotgun sequence.